GAUGAACGCUAGCGAUAGGCCUAACACAUGCAAGUCGAGGGGCAGCGAGGGUAGCAAUACCUGUCGGCGACCGGCGCACGGGUGAGUAACGCGUAUGUAACCUGCCCGCAACAGGGGGAUAACCCGGCGAAAGUCGGACUAAUACCGCAUAAAAUAGGGGUCCCGCAUGGGAGUAUUUGUUAAAGAUUCAUCGGUUGCGGAUGGGCAUGCGUACCAUUAGGUAGUUGGUGAGGUAACGGCUCACCAAGCAGUCGAUGGUUAGGGGUUCUGGGAGGAAGGUCCCUCAUACUGGAACAGGGACACGGACAAGGCUACUACGGGAGGCAGCAGUGAGGAAUGGGGGGCAGUGGGCGGGAGCCUGAACCAGCCAAGUCGAGUGAAAGAUGGCUGCCCUGUGGGUUGUAAACUUCUUUUACAAGGGAAUAGAAUGAGUUACGGGUAUUUUAUUGAAUGUACCUUGAGAAUAAGCAUCGGCUAACUCCGUG
rnacentral:rRNA from 1 species